GGACCCGCACAAGCAGCGGAGCAUGUGGUUUAAUUCGAAGCAACGCGAAGAACCUUACCAGGGCUUGACAUCCUCCUGACCGGCGUGUAACGGCGCCUUUCCUUCGGGACAGGAGAGACAGGUGGUGCAUGGUUGUCGUCAGCUCGUGUCGUGAGAUGUUGGGUUAAGUCCCGCAACGAGCGCAACCCUUGUCUUUAGUUGCCAUCAGGUCAUGCUGGGCACUCUAGAGAGACUGCCGGGGAUAACUCGGAGGAAGGUGGGGAUGACGUCAAAUCAUCAUGCCCCUUAUGUUCUGGGCUACACACGUGCUACAAUGGCCGGUACAAUGAGAAGCAAUAUCGCGAGGUGGAGCAAAUCACCAAAACCGGUCCCAGUUCGGAUUGCAGGCUGAAACCCGCCUGCAUGAAGUCGGAGUUGCUAGUAAUCGCGGAUCAGCACGCCGCGGUGAAUACG
rnacentral:rRNA from 2 species